CCCAUCGGAAAGUUUCCGUGUCCAUAAUUUCAGUUUCCCUCCUUCACAGUCUCUUUCUCGUCUGAAGGCAUUGUUCCAGGCCCUGGAGGAUUCAAUCUGUCCGCUCUUCAGUUCACAUUGCUCUAAAAUCCGGCACCGUGUAUUCUUUGCCAUAAGCUAUGAAGCCCGAGAAAUUUUGCUGAAGAUUUUCAAUAUACCAAAUGCAAUGGAGAAUAGAGUUUAGGUACUAGAAACAUGCUGAAAGAUCAAGAACGAGAGAACUCGUUAUUCCGAUUGAGCGUGGAGGUUAUCUUCGAAGAACGAAAUGGACGUCAAAGAACGAGAUAGAAACGUGUGAGAUAGAAAAGAGCGAGAGAGAGGGGAGCGAGAUAACGAGAGAGGAAAGUGAUCUGUGAAAGAAAGAAAAGAAACGAAAGAGAAAGAGGAGCGAAAAGCCAAGAGCGAGAUUCGCCAUUUUCGCAUGCGUGCGAGGAUUUCAUGGUAAUUUCACCCAAUGUUGACGUCAAUGAAGGGUAAAAAAACUCACAUUUUUUAAAAAGUAUGGCAGAUCUUGUUUUCCCCUUCCAAUUCGGAUCAUCCGUACAAGAAAUCCUAGUAACUCUAGGGCUAAUAAUUAAGUGUAUAACAACAUAUUUAAAGAAUUACAAAUAUAGCAAACUCUAUCACUGAUAGACUCUUACCAGUGAGCGACUCUUACAACUUCUAC